GAUGAACGCUCCUGGAGUGCCUAAUACAUGCAAGUCGAGCGAACGGACGAGAAGCUUGCUUCUCUGAUGUUAGCGGCGGACGGGUGUUUAACACGUGGAUAACCUACCUAUAAGACUGGGAUAACUUCGGGAAACCGGAGCUAAUACCGGAUAAUAUUUUGAACCGCAUGGUUCAAAAGUGAAAGACGGUCUUGCUGUCACUUAUAGAUGGAUCCGCGCUGCAUUAGCUAGUUGGUAAGGUAACGGCUUACCAAGGCAACGAUGCAUAGCCGACCUGAGAGGGUGAUCGGCCACACUGGAACUGAGACACGGUCCAGACUCCUACGGGAGGCAGCAGUAGGGAAUCUUCCGCAAUGGGCGAAAGCCUGACGGAGCAACGCCGCGUGAGUGAUGAAGGUCUUCGGAUCGUAAAACUCUGUUAUUAGGGAAGAACAUAUGUGUAAGUAACUGUGCACAUCUUGACGGUACCUAAUCAGAAAGCCACGGCUAACUACGUGCCAGCAGCCGCGGUAAUACGUAGGUGGCAAGCGUUAUCCGGAAUUAUUGGGCGUAUAGCGCGCGUAGGCGGUUUUUUAGUCUGAUGUGAAAGCCCACGGCUCAUCCGUGGAGGGUCAUUGGAAACUGGAAAACUUGAGUGCAGAAGAGGAAAGUGGAAUUCCAUGUGUAGCGGUGAAAUGCGCAGAGAUAUGGAGGAACACCAGUGGCGAAGGCGACUUUCUGGUCUGUAACUGACGCUGAUGUGCGAAAGCGUGGGGAUCAAACAGGAUUAGAUACCCUGGUAGUCCACGCCGUAAACGAUGAGUGCUAAGUGUUAGGGGGUUUCCGCCCCUUAGUGCUGCAGCUAACGCAUUAAGCACUCCGCCUGGGGAGUACGACCGCAAGGUUGAAACUCAAAGGAAUUGACGGGGACCCGCACAAGCGGUGGAGCAUGUGGUUUAAUUCGAAGCAACGCGAAGAACCUUACCAAAUCUUGACAUCCUUUGACAACUCUAGAGAUAGAGCCUUCCCCUUCGGGGGACAAAGUGACAGGUGGUGCAUGGUUGUCGUCAGCUCGUGUCGUGAGAUGUUGGGUUAAGUCCCGCAACGAGCGCAACCCUUAAGCUUAGUUGCCAUCAUUAAGUUGGGCACUCUAAGUUGACUGCCGGUGACAAACCGGAGGAAGGUGGGGAUGACGUCAAAUCAUCAUGCCCCUUAUGAUUUGGGCUACACACGUGCUACAAUGGACAAUACAAAGGGCAGCGAAACCGCGAGGUCAAGCAAAUCCCAUAAAGUUGUUCUCAGUUCGGAUUGUAGUCUGCAACUCGACUACAUGAAGCUGGAAUCGCUAGUAAUCGUAGAUCAGCAUGCUACGGUGAAUACGUUCCCGGGUCU
rnacentral:rRNA from 1 species